ACGUUCCCCUCUCUCUCGCCCGACGCCACCCACCACUCGUUCCCCACCACUCGUCUCUCUCUCGCGCGCGACGCCGUCCUCUCCCCGUCGAUGUGCCCUCUCGCCGGCAUCUUGCUCCGCACCGUCGCCUAGCUCACCGCUCCCCAUGCAUCGCCGCCUAGCUCACCGCUCCCAAUGCGCCACCCUCUCAAACUCCGGCAAUGCACUGCUGGGCGAGGAGUAGAUGCAGAAAGCUGCCAUUUUUAUGCGCCGGCAACGCGCUGGCGCUAGAUCUGAGUGCGUUGGCGCUCGAUCUGCUUCGUGGAGAGGCAUGAAGGAGGCGCUGAAGCGGAGCCGGAGCGGCGCCGGCGCGGGCGUGAAGACGGCGGCAGUAGGAGCUGGAGCCCGAGCAGGUGGAGGUGGAGCCGCAUCUGGACCUUGUACUGUAUCAAGAUGGAUGGAGUAGAGAGCCUAGAGUAGGAAAGAGCCUUGGACCGUAGCCAUGGACAGCGCAUGACAGAGCCAUGGACAGUGCAACAUCACAAACUUCAUUCCUGUAGAGCCUGAUGCAGCGCAGCAUCACAACCUUGAUGGAAGGAGGCCAGGCCAUGAAGAGAAAAGCUCCUGCCCAUAUCGAUUCAAGAGGAGAGGAGAGCCAUGGAGGGAGAAGCCUGCUGCUGCAAUACCUACCUUGUCGUCCUCAUGGUAUUCUCCAACUUCUCAUGAAGUUUGUGUAGCCUUCUGUUACUCAUGAAGCUUCUGUAGCCUCUGUUACACAUGAAGCUUCUGUAGCUUCACUAGCUUAUGAAU